rnacentral:lncRNA from 1 species
AUGUUUCAUGAAUCUAUCAAAGGCCUUGGUGAACAAACUGAUCCUUCAGCUGAAGUUGAUGACACAAUGUAUCAAGCAAAUGUGAGGCCAAGUUCAAGCACAGCCAUCCAUACCUCAAGCUCCACACUGACUCGUUCAGGUAGUUCCAGCAGACCUAGAAAGUCAAUCUUCAUCUCUUCUUGGUACAGUACCAUCUACAGAAAUCAGAGCAUAAACGCAGAGCGAGAAAGGGCAGCAACAACAAGAGCAGAAGAAAGCAGUGUGCCUGGGAGAGGGGUAUGAGGAGAAAAAGAGAGAAUUUUCUUUGAUGUAUUCGUUUCCUCUUAUUAGUAUCCAUCUAGUGGUGCUCAGGCUGAGAUAGCUGACCUGUCCAAAAGUUAGUGAUCCAAACACAAUCCACUCCCAAUAGUGCAAAAGUACAGACAUCACAGAAUGAAAAUAGCAGAAGUCAAGAUGAAGGAAGAAACCAUGGGCUGCUAGAUAUGAGUGGGAAUAACCUAAGUUCACCCAAGUGGCAGAAGUACUAUCUUCGUUUGCGGAGAGUGAAGAAAAAAAAAUGUCUUAACAGUCUCAUUUUCCCACCUAUAAGCACAUCUCUUCUGUGUUUGCUAUGCUGCUACUGCUAAAGACUGCCCACACUUGAAAGGGCCUGGCAGGCUACGAGGUCAGCCUUGCACAGUUUCCUCUAAUUGCGUGGGUCUGGCUGACCUCCUUACUCCGGAGCAAGGAAGGAUAACAGCAGACAGAGAUGACAGCGGAAAAAGCCUGGCAAAACUUUUCCUGCGCCUGUGGCAGGAGACUGUCUAUUAUCACAGACCACGAUUUCCGUAAUAUAGACUCUCAAGAAACACUGGCUGUCAGUAGGGUGCUACGUAGGGUGUUUUGGUUGCCAGGCCACCGCCAAGGUGGGAGGCUGGUGUCCUUGCCCUGCUGCAGAUGCUCACGUUCAGAGGGGAUGGAGUGAAAGCCACAGGGUGUUGGACACAACAAUUAAUCUAGCCUGCCCAGAGAAGAGGAUGGCAAGCUUUGGUCUGCCCCACUCUCUCAGCGUUCACAUUCCACGUUAAGGCAUUUGGUUGUUUUCCUAUAAAGGCCUACAAGAUGGAAAAGGAGGGAAGAUGCGUGUGCAUCCAGGUAUCCAUGAACCACUCCUGUUCUCUGCUUGUUCUGUCGCUUCCUUCAGCUGCGGUCCUGGAGGUGUUAUACCCCUCGUUUUGUCUCCAUUUCUUAAUCGAGAGGAUGUUUCGUGCGCUGUGGUGUUUUGCUCUGUGGCUGGUGAGAU